rnacentral:rRNA from 1 species
UACGAAGGGGGCUAGCGUUGCUCGGAAUUACUGGGCGUAAAGGGCGCGUAGGCGGACAGCUUAGUCAGAGGUGAAAGCCCAGGGCUCAACCUUGGAACUGCCUUUGAUACAUGUCUGCUUGAGUUCGGAAGAGGGUCGUGGAAUUCCCAGUGUAGAGGUGAAAUUCGUAGAUAUUGGGAAGAACACCGGUGGCGAAGGCGGCGACCUGGUCCGAUACUGACGCUGAGGCGCGAAAGCGUGGGGAGCAAACAGG